CUGCUGCAGAGGCCUUCCGGGGAGACCUACCGUGGUGGAUAUUAGGUUCAAGGAGAAGCCAAGGAGGGGAGGCCUUUUGGAAAUCAGAUCAGGAGCCGGGGCCACUCCAAGUAAAGUUUUUAACAAGAGUGAGCCUAGCAGGCUCUCACCCUGCUGCCGUGCUGUUAGGAAGGCUGGACGGCCCUGGAGGAAGGCCAUGUGGAGGGGAAACGGGCCCUCAUUCUUGGCUGAGUUCCCAGCCCACAGCAGCCCCAGCUUGCCAGCCAUGUGGGUGCCAUCUUGGAAAUGGAUCCUCAGGCCCCGUUCGAACCACCCCAGCUAAUGCUGCCUAGGGCAGAGGCAUGCUAACCCCGCGGGACCCGGAAUAGCGACAGAUUUAUGAGUUACAUAGAUGAUUGCAGUGUUAACUCACUAAAUUCUGGGAUGGCUUGCUAUGCAGCAAUAAUUACUGAAUCUGUUAGACAGGUAAAUAGGGUGGAGGUAAGGUGAGCUUUUCAGGCUCCAACCCCCACUUCCCCUCUUCUCCACCUCCUAAAUUCUAAUAUUUGUUACAGGUCCACAAUCCCUUA
rnacentral:lncRNA from 1 species